rnacentral:piRNA from 1 species
UGGAUCCACACUAGGUAGUCAGGCCUCC